rnacentral:misc_RNA from 1 species
GAUGAAGAACGUAGCGAAAUGCGAUAAGUAAUGUGAAUUGCAGAAUUCAGUGAAUCAUCGAAUCUUUGAACGCAUCUUGCGCUCCUUGGUAUUCUGAGGAGCAUGCCUGUUUGAGUGUCAUUAAAUUCUCAACCGCACUGACUUUGAAUUGGUGUGGCUUGGAUUUGGGGGGAAAAUUGUUGUGGGCUUUUUUGUAUAGUCUGCUCCCCUGAAAUUGAUUAGCGGUACCUUUGUGGAACUGUCUACAGGUGUGAUAAUUAUCUACAUCUUAGACAUCUGCUGGAAUGCUGCUUUCUAAACCUUACUUGUAUUGACAAUCUUGACCUCAAAUCAGGUAGGACUACCCGCUGAACUUAAGCAUAUCAAUAAGCGGAGGA